rnacentral:lncRNA from 1 species
AAUGCUUACAAAAAUAUUUUCAGAUCUGAGACCGAUGCUGGACAGAGCUGUAGGGACAUCCUCCAACUUUAUAGCGAUGCUCUAACAAAAACUUGGUACAGUGGCGUACUUACAGGGGCUAAUUGUCAGGCAAAGUGUGUGGUGACUUUGAAAAAGACUGCAGUGCCAUGCCCGCUCACCCGCCCUCCACCAAGUCAAAAUAACACAAUCCACACUUUGAAAACUAUCCUGUUAUCACGGAGACCUCCAAUUCUAUCAGUUGACCAUUAAAGAAUGUCUAUCAAGCAUCCAGAAAAACAAUGAUUUGGUCAUUGCCCUCAAAGAACUGACCUAGACAGAGCCUAAUAGAAAAUACCAAGUAUUUUCUCCCUUACCUGGUUUCAUUUAAUUCCUACAACGCUGAGGUAGGUAUGGUCAUUAUCCCCUUCCUACAGGGGAAGAAACUAAGGCUCAGGGAGUAAAUAUUUUGCUACAAGUCACAGAACCAGUAAGUGGCAGAGCCAGGGCUUGAACCCUGGAGUCUAAAUCCUUGGGUACUGAUGGGCACCAUUUAGACCAGGAAGCCCAAACCUUAAGCUUGCUGUUCCAGUUUUUCUUACCAAAGGAAGGGUCCCCCAUUUCACUAAUACCAUUGACUUUUGAUUUCUCCGCUGAUCCAGGAUGAAGAGCCUGGUACCUUAUGCCACAAUGAGGCUUUUAGAAGUGCUGCUGCGCAGUUUGGCAGAGGGACCAGCGCCCCGUGCCUGCGCUUGGGAGCCAGGCUGACCCCUGGGUCUGCGAGCCAAACCUGCCCCAGUUCGCUCAGCACUUCCAACCGGUACCCCUCAGCUGCCAGGCCAGAAACCCACGAAGGGGCUCCAGCAGUCAGGGCCUGGGGAAGCAUCCCGACAGACGGAGGCGUGCGGGCCUGUCCGCUUGCUGCCCGGCCGCCCAGCCUGCUGCCCAGCCCCGGCCUCUCGGGUGGACGGGGCUCCAGCACCAACACCGCUUGGCCGGCCCCGCGCAGCCCCGAGCCCCCGCCUCUGGCUGCCGGCCCGCUCGCGGUGCUCACUGCGCGCUCUGGACCGGGCCCGCCUCUCGGCGGUUUUCGCUUUCGCUUUCCUGCCGAUAUAGUUGAGGAAAAUGAAAGUGGCCGUGGCCAGGACUGGCGAAGCUGCCGUCGGGGCGAGGGGCGCAGAGUGCGGCCGCGGCGGGUCUGGAGCCUGGAGCCUGGAGCCUGGAGCCUGGAACCCCGGCCGCAGCCAGCGCCGGGCGAGGCUUGGAGAGCAGCUAGGCCAGGAUGCAGCCUCUCCCCAAGGCCCUGCCCGUUUGAAGACUCACUCUGCAGGACCCCAACCCUCAAGGCUGGCAGAAAUGGCCAGGCAUGGGUGCACUCUGGGACCCAGUCUUUCCCAGACCAGGGAACUUUCUGUCCACUGCGUCCGCCAGCAGAAGGGUGAAAGAUGAGCGCCCCGAUCUUUGCCCUUGGUCCAAUCUACCGAGCUCCUUCGUGGUAUGCGAGAAUUGGGCGCCACCUCAAGGCUGUGGAGACAGCCCCUGCCCUUGGGGUAUUACCCACACCCUGGCAAGAGAAGAUGUAUGCCAGUUGCCCACAAGACCAGUUGUGUGGAACAAGCAUACGUGAGAGGAGGCACUAAGUGUUGAAAGUGACGAAAUCUGCAAACACUUGACUUAAUUUGAGUGACCGUGUUUUUGUAGCCAAUACCAAGAACCCUCUUCUACUCAACUUUUGUCUCAAAAGAAAGGAAUUCAGCCAAAUCACAUGGAUCUGAUCAUAACACCCAUUACUGAAACAAAACUGGAAUGAUCUUAACUUUGAAAAUAGCCAUCUGAAUUUGACAAAAGAUGACUCAACACCCUAAUUUUUAAAACCUGGAGUCCCCGCUCUGUCCCGCCCCAGAAGGGUG